UACGAAGGGGGCUAGCGUUGGCUCGGAAUCACUGGGCGUAAAGGGUGCGUAGGCGGGUCUUUAAGUCAGGGGUGAAAUCCUGGAGCUCAACUCCAGAACUGCCUUUGAUACUGAAGAUCUUGAGUUCGGGAGAGGUGAGUGGAACUGCGAGUGUAGAGGUGAAAUUCGUAGAUAUUCGCAGGAACACCAGUGGCGAAGGCGGCUUACUGGUCCAUAACUGACGCUGAGGUGCGAAAGCGUGGGGAGCAACAGGAU
rnacentral:rRNA from 1 species